rnacentral:rRNA from 1 species
GACGAACGCUGGCGGUGUGCUUAACACAUGCAAGUCGAACGGAAAGGCCCUGCUGUUGUGGGGUGCGCGAGUGGCGAACGGGUGAGUAACACGUGAUUAACCUGCCCUUGACUGUGGGAUAACUUCAGGAAACUGGGGCUAAUACCUGAUAGGAGCUCCUGCUGCAUGGAGGUGGUGGGAAAGUUUCGGCGGUUGGGGAUGGACUCGCGGCUUAUCAGCUUGUUGGUGGGGUAGGUGCUUACCAAGGCUUUGACGGGUAGCCGGCCUGAGAGGGUGACCGGCCACAUUGGGACUGAGAUAAGGGCCAGACUCCUACGGGAGGGAGCAGUGGGGAAUAUUGCACAAUGGGCGGAAGCCUGAUGCCGCAACGCCGCGUGGGGGAUGACGGCCUUCGGGUUGUAAAACGCUUUCGCCUGUGACGAAGCGUGAGUGACGGUACUGGGUAAAGAAGCACCGGCUAACUACGUG